AUGAGCAUGUCGUUACGUCAGGUGGAGCUAUGGGCCCGAUGGGUGGCUCGCAGUCAGCAAAAACGUUUAAGUCAAAGCGGAAGGGGGAAACACUGGAGAAAAGAUCUGUCUGUUUACUGCUUCCAGUUUUACAACAAGGGGAUACUGUUCAAGUCCAAAGGAGCUUCAGUAGUUGAAGAGUUGAGAUAUUCUGCCUCCUCUGCCCCAUCUCCAACAUCCUGUUUCAUCACAAAUGUUUAUCAUUUUAUUCAUCGGUUCUCCACCCGCCUUGUGGGCCGUUGUGGUUGCUGUCAGGCAGCCAAGAGGCUGGGGAAUGCCUAUCCACAGCAGUGUGGGGCGUCUGGCUGGGGUGCUCACGCGUCCUGUAACUGGCCCAUCUAUUGGUGA
rnacentral:lncRNA from 1 species